CACGCCGUGGGUCUCGCGGGGGAGGGCGCCCCGGUUCUAGUCCUGUCCCCAUGACCGUGAGCUAUUCCAGCGGUCUAGUCUUCCCAUCCCGCAUGUGAGUGUCCGAAUUGCAAUUGAUUCACGUUAGCGAAGAGCAGACCGGCAGGAUCGGAAUGAAAACGGCGACUAAUCCUAACCUAGCACCGCAUUAUACUUCGGUAGUAGAGGGGUCAUGAAAAUUUUCCCCAAGAGCUGGGUGAGGUGACACGUACCAGUAAUCUCAGCACUUAGGAGGCUGACGCAGAGGCAGCAUGAGUUCUAGGCCAACCUUGGCUAAUGUGUCUGUCUCCUUGCAUAACAUACAAGCAAGCGCGCACACUCAGGUAGAUUCCCUAACCCAUUGAGUAUUGCAUGUAUUGGGCUCUUAUUACCCAAACGGACAGCCUUUGCUCUUUAUGAAGUUGAACAGCUAUACUUCAUAGAAUGGCUAUGAGCAGAUAGAUAGGUGUGCCCGGAGUGGAGAAUGUGAUACAAAGCUCUUAGCAGAGCAUAUGGGCCUUCCUUGGUAGCAGUGGUUACGAUUGCAGUCUAAGUAAAAUCAAAAGCUCAUGGUGAAAUGUCUAAAAGAUGUCACCAGAUACAUUUUUAUGAAUUAAAGAAAUCUAAAAUAUUACUUUUCUAAUGAUAGUUUGGUAGUACAACAAAGGUAAAACGUGGUUUGCUUCAAGACUAGACUAUGUCACACAGGCUUGCUGAAACUUCACGUGGAUAUGACAAAAAUACUUAUCAGCUUACAAAAUAAGCACAACGAAGUUUCACUAACAGGGAAGCGUGUAAGUAGCAUUUAGUUGAAAAACUUGAGCCACAAGGAAGAAAUGUUAAAUCUACAUAAAAGGAGGGCACAUCUAGGUCUGUGGAAUAACAAGCCAAGCCAUUACUGUAAAUUGUCCCAAAUGAAUGUUGAGAUUGAACUGAAAUCUAAGUGUAGGUAUCUUGCAAGGCCUUGCCAGCAGUUAUUACCCUGCCAGGCAGGUGCGGUUGAUAGUAGAGGCCAUAAAAGGGAACAGAGAAGUGGUAAUUUGUGCUGCAGGCCACAGGAAUGGUAUCCUGUAAGAACUCCCCAUAGCCCCCAAUAAAUUUGGUUGAGGAUGUUGACUUAAGAGUUGUGUUAGUGAGAUGGCUCAGCACACCACCUGGUAAGACAAGAAUUCAACUCCUAGAAACCUUAGGGCAGGACUGCCACCAGCUACUGUCCUGUAACAUCCCCUCCCCAAGCACCCAUCCAAAGAAUGCCAGCAGUCCUUCAGGAGGCAGGACUCUGGUAAACACAAAAGGUUAUUGGGAAAACCAUGGGGGACUUGUCUGACAGUCAUAAAAGCUUAAGGCCAGAUGUGACCUUUUGCAGUACCACUUAGGGUGUUCUCUUUAAUAGUUACAUGGGUAUGUUUUGUGCGUAUGCCUGGUGACCAAGUGUCCCCUGAAAUUGGAGUUAAGGAGACACCAUUCAGGCAGCUUGGGAUAACCUGUUCCCUCAAGGACAGACAGCCUGGGCUGUAUAUUUCAACUGCAUUGAGAGCUUUGAUACUAUCUACAUCUCAUCUGAACUGUCUGAGCAAACUAAGUUGCAGUGCUUAUCACAGGAGAGCAUCCAAUUGAAAAGGUCUGGACUAGGUUAAGGACAUUGGUGAUACAAUUUCUUGACACUAGAGUUCCCAUCAAUAGCACCAACUCCAUUCCAUGAUGUCCUGGAUGCAAAGGAAUGCUGUAACUACCCCCAUCAUUCUUCUGCUACAGCAAACCAUUUCUAGGGGUGAGGGGUGUUCAGUGUCUCCAGUUUAGGAAAAUGAAUCCCUCACUAAGUCAUGACCUACUUUUUAUGUGAUCUAAUGGUGAGACACUUUCCAACUCUGUAUGGGAAGACGGCCCAAAGCUUGGUGUGUGAUACAAGGAAAAAACAGAGACAAAACAGAAGCCAUCUGGGAAAGCAUACUUUAAUGAGAAUCAAGUCACAUUUCAUCUUCAAGCAGGUCCUUGAGCCAAAGGAGUAAGACAGACCUUUAAGCUCCUAGGAAUUUUAGAUGUUGAGAACAUUCCAUGUGCACGAGAAUCUAUACUCUAUGGCUCAUUAGGAUCUGUUGUGGCUGGACUUGGACAUUUCUUAGUGACCAGUAAGUAUUUCUCCUAUAGAACAUUUCUGUGGUGAAACAUUUUCUCCAUAGAACAUAAUUAUACUGACCACACUUGUUUUUGACAGGUAGAAUUAGAAGAUCAUGUGAUGUUGGAGUAGGAGGAUUUAUCCUGGUGACUUUAGGAUGCUGGUAUGUUUGCUGGAUAUUCCAGGAAAUUCAGAUUUCUUUUGAGACAGGGGUUGUGUCCUGGCUGUCCUGGAACCAGGCUGGUCUUGAACUCCCAAGUGUUAGGAUUAAAGGUGUGCACCGCCACCACCUUCAGAAAUCAUUGGUGGACAGGUGUUUUCUCUGUGCUCCUGCGAUUAAAGGCAUGAGCCACCACGCUCAGCUAAGUAGUUAUUUAUCAAAAUCUGUCCUAUGACUAUUGAAUGUUUGAACAGAUGAAUGGCAGAAUAAUCAUGUUCUACAACAGAUACAAUUAAUCUAAGGUGACAUAAGUUUACAUUUUAUGUACUUAUUUUUUUUUAAAACAUUUGUAUUUUGAAAGAACACCUUUAAAUACAGCUUUGGGUUAGUCAUUUUGGAAAUCUGUAUGAAACUACUUAAAAUCCCUUAGGUUAUUCAUAUAGGAACUAGUAAUUUAUUCAUUUUUCCUUCU